GCCCCGCCGCGUUGAAUUGUGGGAGCUGCAGUUCUCGACUGCCCGGAGCUCGGAAGGAGUAAGGAGGAGGAUAAAACCUGUUUAGAAGCUGAGGUUCUUGCUGUACUUUAACAAAGAAAACCCAAAGAAGCCGAAGGCUUUCAAAAUACCAAGAUGCUGUCAAUGAUACAAAAAGAGAUCCUGGGGGAAAAUUGCACAGGAAAAGACAACACUGGGCAUCCAUCUAC